GGUCCUUCCGGUGACCAGCUUCAGGCUUGGCUUUGAAGAGAAGCUGGCGCCAGUGGUUUUGUGUGCUGUGAUGAGAGUGCUGCUGCAGGGAGCUGAGCAGAGAGCAUGGGCCAGCUGGAAAACCACGAUAUGAGAGCAAGUUGAAUAUUGGAACUUAAAUGGGCUGAUUAAAGUCUUACGGAGGCCUCUGAAUAAGAUUCAGAAAAGCCAUUUAAGCCCCUUGUUCAGACAUGGUGAAUGGGUGGUGGUAGCGUGGGCAUUAUCGCUACAAAUGGAGGUCACACCAAGGUCCGAGAAAGAAGGGACAAGCUGAUGGACACCUGAAAGGACAAUGAGGUCCCUCUUUGGGUUCCUGAGCACUGCAUGUGCCCUGUGGCUGCUGCUGAAUCCCAACAUGGCAGAGACCUAUUGGGCCUUUGUGAAGAACUUUCCCCUUCUGAUGCCAAUGGGUAUUGAGAGCCCAAUAUGGCCAGCCUUGGCAAGCAUUAAUGUAAGCCUAGGAACUGUAGCCAUGCGGUUGGAUUCUCCAGAAGAGCUGCCAGCUUAAGUCGUGCUGGGAUCAAGAAAAAUGGGCCUUGGUGGUUCCUGUUCCUGGAGUCCAUGCCAGUGGAUGCCCACACGAUCCAGAAGAGAAUCUGACAUCGCUGUUGCCACUGCUGCUUUUGUUUCUGGGAUUGCUAUUUCAUAAUUGAUUACUACAGCUAGCACAAUGGAGACCCUGGCAGCAAAAGUAGCUACCGCAGUUAGUUAAUCUUUCAUUCUAUUGGGCAUGAUAAAUUUAAUUCAACAGUUAUAUACAUUUGAAUUGGCUUUGUAAGUUGUAAAAUUUAUAAAACUCAAGUUCCAUUUGCUUUUGGGAUACCAUCUUAUGAGGACUCCAAUUUGCAUAAGGCUCAAAGGAAGGGAAUGGCUCAAUUGCCUUUCGUCUCCUGGCUAUGGGUGAGUUAGGACUUCUAUUGGUCUUUUCUGUGUCGAACAGAUUGCAAGCCCAGCGCCACUUUGAGAUCUUUGGCAACAGUUACUCUACAGCUCACAUGGUUGAGUCUGUAUGAUAAUGAGUAUUCAGAGACUAGUAAUGCUUGGGGGGCAUCAUCAACAUAACCCAGAGCACCUGUGUGGCCUGGGCAGGUGUCUCCAUUACAGGUAAGGUGACCUGCUGACGUCCCACACAAUCUAAAUCAGAAGCUCAUUUUUUUAGUAAAAAGGGGGGACCUGUAGGGCCCUGGCUCCCCAUAUUUGAGUAAACUGUUUGCCUGCUUGCCGGCCUUGACCAGAUGUCCUCCCUAUGCUAAUUCCCUGCCGGUAUCCACCCUCCUGAAUGCUUGAGUGAAGUUCCUUGUUUGUGUAUCCUGCAUAUUGGGUGUUAACAGCUUAGAUGCAAGAAUGUAGAACAUUUGGUAGCGAAUUUCUGCCCUCUGGGGUUCUCCCAUUGUGCUGUAAGCCUGUAUUUAAGGUUUCCUCAUCUUUCAAUAAACGGCAUUCAGCAUUCUGCUGUGGCGAAUGACA